AGAUGCAGGUGCGAGAGAGAGAGAAAGAGGGAGGGAGGGACGAUGGAGAGAUGGAGAGAUGCUGGAGCCUGGGCCCUCUCUCUCCCUCUCUCCCUCCUUCCCUCCCUUCUCCAUCCGGCCC